GUCUACGGCCAUACCACCCUGAACGCGCCCAAUCUCGUCUGAUCUCGGAAGCUAAGCAGGGUCGGGCCUGGUUAGUACUUGGAUGGGAAAGAAAUAUUUCAGUUGCUUGCAUU
rnacentral:rRNA from 1 species